AAGAUACACCUCAGCACAAAGGCUCCACCACAGCCAUCACCUUCAACCCAGCCAGCAAGGCUGGUGUGUGACAGGGAGUUGACUGGCUUCUCCCAGGAGCAGACGAGGCACACCUGUUUCCACUCACCUCUUCACCUGUAGAUAUAAAAGCCCGGUCCUCAUGCCACUUCCCUGCCAGAUAAUUCCUCUGUGUUUCCACCCUCCGGUGUGUCUCGCUGCUCUCCUCGUCUUUUGGAUUCUUUGUUUGGAUUUUUGCCUCCUGUCCCUGACGACUCAGUACCAGCCAACUUCCUGACUCCACUGCCGUCUUUUUUCUGUUUUCUGCUUGAAUAAAGCUUUUUGUUUUUUA